GUGGGGAAUCUUGCGCAAUGGGCGAAAGCCUGACGCAGCCAUGCCGCGUGAAUGAUGAAGGUCUUAGGAUUGUAAAAUUCUUUCACCGGGGACGAUAAUGACGGUACCCGGAGAAGAAGCUCCGGCUAACUUCGUGCCAGCAGCCGCGGUAAUACGAAGGGGGCUAGCGCUGCUCGGAAUUACUGGGCGUAAAGGGCGCGUAGGCGGACAGCUUAGUCAGAGGUGAAAGCCCAGGGCUCAACCUUGGAAUUGCCUUUGAUACUGGCUGUCUUGAGUUUGGGAGAGGUGAGUGGAACUCCGAGUGUAGAGGUGAAAUUCGUAGAUAUUCGGAAGAACACCAGUGGCGAAGGCGACUCACUGGCCCAAUACUGACGCUGAGGCGCGAAAGCGUGGGGAGCAAACAGGAUUAGAAACCCUUGUAGUCC
rnacentral:rRNA from 1 species